CAAAUAAAUACUAUUAAAAUCCUGGAAACCUUAAUACAAUACUAUGGUCUUCCAUUACAAAUUCAGAGUGACAAUGGAAGUCACUUUAAAGGAAAACUGGUACAAGACUUUUGUGAUGAAAACAAUAUUGAAUGGAUAUUUCAUAUACCCUACUAUCCUCAAGCAGCUGGUCUGAUUGAAAGAAUGAAUGGGUUAUUGAAACAACAAUUGAGAAAACUUGGUGAAGGGACCAUGCACAAAUGGAGAGAUAACUUGCCUACAGCUGUAAACAUGUUGAACAACAGGCAGGGCCGGCGCUACC